rnacentral:misc_RNA from 1 species
AUAUGGGGAUGGUAGGCAUGUCAGGUAAGCUUAGAAUUUUCACUAUCAUUUUGUAAAACCUUUUUUUUUUAGUGUAGCAGAAAGUCAAUAAUCUGUCUAGACUUAAUUUAUUGCCACAUUUAUUCAAAUGAUGACUUGAUCAUUUUCCUACUGAAUAACCUUGUUGAGGACAUUCAUCUGUUUAAUUUAUGCACACGGCAGUGGAGUUUCAUUUGAUACUAUCUUAUAUACAUUUUAUGCUGAUUGCUUUUGCCUAUGGGAUGCACAAUGUUAUUAGUGUUUCAGUGCUGUGCAUUGCCAAUAACAAUUUGGGGGCUGAGAUUCUGGCAUGGCUUCUUAUUUUACUGGGCUAAUGCAUUCAGAUGCUCCCACAUUUGACUUAUGUGCAUUAAUUCAUAAAAUUCAGUUCACAAUGCUGUCAUUGAUGAAUUUGGCUACUCUUAAGUUCUAUGAGGAUCUAGAACUCACACCGUCAAUAAUUGUGUUGUCUGUGUAGAUACAGAGGGU